ACUCGGCUUGGAAGAAAUUAGAAAAAGCAACAAUAAAAAACAUCAAAACUGGAAAAGGUGUCAACUUUGAGAAUGACAGCUCUUGUUGUAAUAAACAUUCACGCCCCUCUGGAUGGAAGUGAGCGGAAGACAGCUGCGCAGGAACCUCAGUUAAACAGAUCAUUCAUGGAAAGCCAUCUUCUUUAUUAAAAAUGCCACAGCGCGUACAACACAAGAAAUCAUAUGGAGGACGAGUGAGCUGUGGCUGCAGGCGAUAACUCCUCUGUGGAUCCAACUACUGCACAUCCUC